GAUGAACGCUGGCGGCGUGCCUAAUACAUGCAAGUCGAGCGAACGGACGAGAAGCUUGCUUCUCUGAUGUUAGCGGCGGACGGGUGAGUAACACGUGGAUAACCUACCUAUAAGACUGGGAUAACUUCGGGAAACCGGAGCUAAUACCGGAUAAUAUUUUGAACCGCAUGGUUCAAAAGUGAAAGACGGUCUUGCUGUCACUUAUAGAUGGAUCCGCGCUGCAUUAGCUAGUUGGUAAGGUAACGGCUUACCAAGGCAACGAUGCAUAGCCGACCUGAGAGGGUGAUCGGCCACACUGGAACUGAGCCACGGUCCAGACUCCUACGGGAGGCAGCAGUAGGGAAUCUUCCGCAAUGGGCGAAAGCCUGCCGGAGCAACGCCGCGUGAGUGAUGAAGGUCUUCGGAUCGUAAAACUCUGUUAUUAGGGAAGAACAUAUGUGUAAGUAACUGUGCACAUCUUGACGGUACCUAAUCAGAAAGCCACGGCUAACUACGUG
rnacentral:rRNA from 1 species